rnacentral:rRNA from 1 species
UACAGAGGGUGCAAGCGUUGUUCGGAUUCACUGGGCGUAAAGGGUGCGUAGGCGGGUCUUUAAGUCAGGGGUGAAAUCCUGGAGCUCAACUCCAGAACUGCCUUUGAUACUGAGGGUCUUGAGUAUGACAGAGGUGAGUGGAACUGCGAGUGUAGAGGUGAAAUUCGUAGAUAUUCGCAAGAACACCAGUGGCGAAGGCGGCUCACUGGGUCAUUACUGACGCUCAGGCGCGACAGCGUGGGGAUCAAACAGG